UAACCUACCCUGGUGUCUGGGAUAACAUCUCGAAAGGGGUGCUAAUACCGGAUAAGCCCACGGGAUCUUCGGAUUCUGCGGGAAAAGGUGGCCUCUAUUUAUAAGCUACCGUAUCAGGAUGGGUCCGCGUACCAUUAGCUAGUUGGUGGGGUAAUGGCCUACCAAGGCUACGAUGGUUAGCUGGUCUGAGAGGAUGAUCAGCCACACUGGAACUGAGACACGGUCCAG
rnacentral:rRNA from 1 species